rnacentral:rRNA from 1 species
AGAGUUUGAUCAUGGCUCAGGACGAACGCUGGCGGCGUGCCUAACACAUGCAAGUGGAGCGACGAACCGGGCUUCGGCCCGGGGCAAAGCCGCGAACGGGUGAGUAACACGUGGGUAACCUGCCCUGAUGAUUGGGACAACCCGAGGAAACUCGGGCUAAUACCGAAUGUGCCCUCCAGCCAUAAGGCUGCUGGGGAAAGGAAGCUUCGGCCUCCGCAUCGGGAUGGGCCCGCGGCCCAUUAGCUUGUUGGUGAGGUAAAGGCUCACCAAGGCCACGAUGGGUAGCUGGUCUGAGAGGACGAUCAGCCACACUGGGACUGAGACACGGCCCAGACUCCUACGGGAGGCAGCAGUGGGGAAUCUUGCGCAAUGCGCGAAAGCGUGACGCAGCAACGCCGCGUGGGGGAAGACGGCCUUCGGGUUGUAAACCCCUUUCAGUUGGGACGAAGCUUCGCCGGUGAAUAGCCGGCUGGAGUGACGGUACCUUCAGAAGAAGCCCCGGCUAACUACGUGCCAGCAGCCGCGGUAAUACGUAGGGGGCAAGCGUUGUCCGGAAUCAUUGGGCGUAAAGAGCGUGUAGGCGGCUCGGUAAGUCCGCUGUGAAAGUCCAGGGCUCAACCCUGGAAUGCCGGUGGAAACUGUCGAGCUAGAGUCCGGAAGAGGCGAGUGGAAUUCCUGGUGUAGCGGUGAAAUGCGCAGAUAUCAGGAGGAACACCGAUGGCGAAGGCAGCUCGCUGGGACGGUACUGACGCUGAGACGCGAAAGCGUGGGGAGCAAACAGGAUUAGAUACCCUAGUAGUCC